rnacentral:sRNA from 1 species
GCUGGGAACGGUGGCGCAUGCCUAUAAUCCCAGUGGCUCAGGAGGCUGAGGCAGGAGGAUCAUGAGUUCAAAUCCAGCCUCAGCAAAAAUGAGGUGCUAAGCAACUCAGUGAAACCCUGUCUCUA